rnacentral:sRNA from 2 species
AAUUAUUAGCGGUUCGGCUACCUAUAUUUUACGUAUAAAAAAACCUGCACCGCGGCAGGUUUUUUAUUAUU